UACGUAGGGUGCAAGCGUUAAUCGGAAUUACUGGGCGUAAAGCGUGCGCAGGCGGUGAUGUAAGGCAGUUGUGAAAUCCCCAGGCUCAACCUGGGAACUGCAUCUGUGACUGCAUCGCUGGAGUGCGGCAGAGGGGGAUGGAAUUCCGCGUGUAGCAGUGAAAUGCGUAGAUAUGCGGAGGAACACCGAUGGCGAAGGCAAUCCCCUGGGCCUGCACUGACGCUCAUGCACGAAAGCGUGGGGAGCAAACAGG
rnacentral:rRNA from 1 species